GUCAUCAGUCUACAGUUGAAAAUUGUGGUGACAGGUUGUUUCAUCGACAGAAAUUAUUGUUUGGAUUCGAGCUUCGAAGGCUUCGAUAUUUCGUAAACGUGGUAGAUUUUGCACACACACCACGAAAAUGAAGAGAUAAUUCGACGAUUUUCGUGCAAAUACGAGUCAUCAAUUUUCAAUAUGGAUGCCAAUUAUAACAAUUUAUGGAAGGAAGACGAGAUUUAAAUUUGCAUAUAAAAGGAAAAUGAAUAUAAAUCAUUGUAAUUGCAUGCAAUGCGGUCAAUAGAGUCAGUGUUUGCUUCUUUUUGCAAUAACUUUGGCUUACGACAUUGAUGGUAGUGCAGAUUCAUCGCUUCAAUUGCUCAGGAUUUUCUCAGUUUAAUCCCUUCAUUGCCAGGAUCUCACUGUUAUUUGGAUGAGAGAGAGAGAGAGAGAGAGAGAGGCGAUGGGCAUGAUGACCCUAGUUGAUAAGUUUAAAUCAAAAUUUCUCAGCGACCGACGAUACGUUGGUGUUGCUGCCCGACGUUAUUUUCCGUACGUACGUAUAUAUGUGUAAUCACGCUAUGAAAUUGCGUCGUUCCGAUCAUUAUUUCCGUCACUGUAAUUAAUUACAAUCGCAACGUUAUGCAAUGUUAAUGCAUGCAAUUAAAUAUAAAUAAUAAAUA